GUGGGGAAUAUUGGACAAUGGGCGCAAGCCUGAUCCAGCCAUGCCGCGUGAGUGAUGAAGGCCCUAGGGUUGUAAAGCUCUUUCACCGGUGAAGAUAAUGACGGUAACCGGAGAAGAAGCCCUGGCUAACUUCGUGCCAGCAGCCGCGGUAAUACGAAGGGGGCUAGCGUUGUUCGGAAUUACUGGGCGUAAAGCGCACGUAGGCGGACAUUUAAGUCAGGGGUGAAAUCCCAGAGCUCAACUCUGGAACUGCCUUUGAUACUGGGUGUCUUGAGUAUGGAAGAGGUAAGUGGAAUUCCGAGUGUAGAGGUGAAAUUCGUAGAUAUUCGGAGGAACACCAGUGGCGAAGGCGGCUUACUGGUCCAUUACUGACGCUGAGGUGCGAAAGCGUGGGGAGCAAACAGGAUUAGAUACCCCUGUAGUCC
rnacentral:rRNA from 1 species